rnacentral:rRNA from 1 species
UGCAGCCGAACGGCAAGUUGAGUAGCAAUACUUGACCUAGAGUGGCGUAAGGGUGCGUAUCACGUAUGCAAUCUACCCUCAACAGGAGGAUAGCUCCCCGAAAGGGGAAUUAAUACUCCAUAAGAUCACGCUCAGGCAUCUGAGAGUGAUUAAACUACAAGGGGUUGAGGAUGAGCAUGCGUUUGAUUAGUUAGUUGGUGAGGUAACGGCUCACCAAGACGAUGAUCAAUAGGGGAACUGAGAGGUUGAUCCCCCACACUGGCACUGAGAUACGGGCCAGACUCCUACGGGAGGCAGCAGUAGGGAAUAUUGGUCAAUGGGUGAGAGCCUGAACCAGCCAUGCCGCGUGCAGGAAGAAGGCCUUCUGGGUUGUAAACUGCUUUUGCCAGGGGAUAAAAUAGCUUUGCGAAGCAAAUUGAAGGUACCUGGUGAAUAAGCCACGGCUAACUACGUGCCAGCAGCCGCGGUAAUACGUAGGUGGCAAGCGUUGUCCGGAUUUAUUGGGUUUAAAGGGUGCGUAGGCGGUUCUAUAAGUCAGUGGUGAAAUACAGCCGCUUAACGGUUGAGGUGCCAUUGAUACUGCAGGACUUGAGUACAGACGAGGUAGGCGGAAUUGACGGUGUAGCGGUGAAAUGCUUAGAUAUCGUCAAGAACACCGAUAGCGAAGGCAGCUUACUAGACUGUAACUGACGCUGAGGCACGGAAGUGCGGGGAUCAAACAGGAUUAGAUACCCUGGUAGUCCACACUGUAAACGAUGAUUACUCGAUGUUGGCGAUACACAGCCAGCGUCUUAGCAAAAGCGAUAAGUAAUCCACCUGGGGGAGUACGCUGGCAACAGUGAAACUCAAAGGAAUUGACGGGGGGUCCGCACAAGCGGUGGAGCAUGUGGUUUAAUUCGAUGAUACGCGAGGAACCUUACCUGGGCUAGAAUGCCCUUGACAGAUUCAGAAGGU